rnacentral:rRNA from 1 species
GCCUGCCCACUGAUAUUAAUUGAAGGGCCGCGGUAUCUUGACCGUGCGAAGGUAGCAUAAUCAUUAGUCUUUUAAUUGGAGGCUUGUAUGAAUGGUUGGACAAAAAGUAAGCUGUCUCAUCUACAAAAUUUGAAUUUAACUUUUAAGUGAAAAGGCUUAAAUAAUUUAGGGGGACGAUAAGACCCUAUAAAGCUUUACAAUAAUCUAAAUAUUCCAAGAUUUGUUAGUCUAAUUUGGGUUAUUUAGAGUUUGUUUCGUUGGGGCGACGAGAAUAUAAAUCAAAUAACUGUUCUUUUCAGUACUACAAUAUUAAUUGAUUAAAAAUUGAUCCUUUAUUAAAGAUUAAAAGAUUAAGUUACUUUAGGGAUAACAGCGUAAUCUUCUUAGAGAGUCCAUAUCGACAAGAAGGGUUGCGACCUCGAUGUUGAAUUAAGGGAUCCUUCUGGUGCAGCAGCUAUAAAGGAAGGUC